CGCUGGUCGGAAGCUGAAUGAUUUCUUCGCUUUCGGGUUGGCUCCGCGCUUUCUUAGCUAGUUGGUGAGGUAAUGGCCCACAAGGCAUUCGACGGGUAGCUCGGUUGAGAGGACGACCAGCCACACUCGGAACUGAGAAACGGUCCAAAUUCCUACGGGAGGCAGCAGUGGGGAAUUUUCGCACAAUGGGCGAAAGCCUGAUGCAGCGACGCCGCGUGGGGGAUGAAGGCCCUAGGGUCGUAACCCCCUUUUCGGUAGGGACGAAAAAUGAACGGUACCUUACAAAAAGAAAGGCCCGGCCAAACUUACGUUGCCAGCAGCCGCGGUAAGAACGUAGGGGCCAAGCGUUUGUCCGGAUUUUAUUUGGGCGUAAAGGGCUUCGUAGGCGGUUAAGUAAGUCGGAUGUGAAAACUCAGGGCUCAACCCUGAGACGCCAUCCGAUACUGCUUUGACUUUGAGUCUGGUAGAGGAGUGUGGAAUUCCUGGUGUAGCGGUGAAAUGCGCAGAUAUCAGGAGGAACACCUGUAGCGAAGGCGGCACUCUGGGCCAGUACUGACGCUGAGGAGCGAAAGCAUGGGUAGC
rnacentral:rRNA from 1 species